rnacentral:rRNA from 1 species
GAUGAACGCUGGCGGCGUGCCUAAUACAUGCAAGUCGAGCGAUGCGAGGACGGGUGAGUAACACGUGGAAAACCUCCGAUACCACCGGAAUAAAUUGGGGUAACCGGAGCAAAACCGGAUACUUAGAGAUGGCUCCACGCUGCAUUAGCUAGUUGGUAAGUGAACGGCUUACCAAGGCAACGAUGCAUAGCCGACCUGAGAGGGUGAUCGGCCACACUGGGACUGAGACACGGUCCAGACUCCUACGGGAGGCAGCAGUAGGGAAUCUUCCGCAAUGGACGAAAGCCUGACGGAGCAACGCCGCGUUAGUGAUGAAGGUUUUCGGAUCGUAAAACUCUGUUAUUAGGGAAGCGGUACCUAACCAGAAAGCCACGGCUAACUACGUGCCAGCAGCCGCGGUAAUAC